ensembl:lncRNA RPL31P11 ribosomal protein L31 pseudogene 11
CUCAAUCCCUCGCGCUCUUCCUUUCCAACUUGGACCCGGCAGAAUGGCUCCCGCAAAGAAGGGUGGCAAGAAUAAAAGGGCCGUUCUGCCAUCAACGAGGUGGUGACCCGAGAAUACACCAUCAACAUUCACAAGCACAUCCAUGGAGUGGGCUUCAAGAAGUGUGCCCCUCGGGCACUCAAAGAGCUUCGGAAAUUUGGCAUGAAGGAGAUGGGAACUCCAGAUGCGCGCAUUGAUAUCAGGCUCAACAAAGCUGUCUGGGCCAAAGGAAUAAGAAUGUCCCAUACCGAAUCCGUGUGCGGCUGUCCCGAAAACGUAAUGAGGAUGAAGAUUCACCAAAUAAGCUCUAUACUUUGGUUACCUAUGUACCUGUUGCCACUUUUGAAAAUCUACAGUCAAUGUGGAUGAGAACUAAUCGCUGAUCGUCAAAUACAUCAAAUAAAGUUAUAAAAUUGCCUUCAAAAAAAAAAAGACAUAGGUUCUCGUUGGAUAUGUAGAAAUCGCAGAUUGAAGAGUUUAAUUAUUUGGCUAACAACAGUUACAGAAAUGUAUGCUACAAUGUGUUUGACAAGUCUUAAGUAAUCUUGUUGAGAUAACAAUUUGUAUAAUUUAAAUUAUCUGUUGAAAUUGUGGUUUUCAGCAAAAAUAGAAAAAUUAAGGAACAUUUCAUUCCAGUGGGCACAGGAGUACAGUAAACAGAGAGACUAGUGUGGUAGGGAAAAUAUAUACUUUUUUUUGUAUUAUUCAAGACUAAGAAUGUUACAAAAUAGAAGAGAUUACAAUGUACAAGAUUGCAAACAGAAGGAAGAUGUGAUCAAACAAUCAAAAACUAAUUCUGUGAAAAGACCAAUAAAAAAGACUUCUGACAAGCCUAAUUAAGAUAAACAGAGAUAUAAAGAUGUCUCUUUUAUUUAACCAUUUAACAUUAUUUUUGUCUAAUAUCUAAGAAGUAACAUUGGGAUAACCACAAAUCUUGGUCAUGUUGUUAUAGAAAAUUGGGUAAUAGGGAAUUGAGUUUAUUUCCCUAAAGAAAGGAAUGCUAAUGAAAAGCAAGCUAAUUUUCCUGGAAGAUCUUAGAAAAAGUCCAGGAAUUUGGAGGAAUCAUGUACAACAAAAUAUAUGGUUAAAGAAUGAUUCUAAAAAUGAGAGGAUAAUUGUAAACUCUGUAUAAGGAGAAGUUAGACUCUUAGGGCCUCUCUCCUACCCAGGGUGACUAUUUGCAGGUGACUAAUUUUUCCCUGUCAUAGUUUAAUUCUCAGGAGAAAUUGACCCAGCCAGCAGCUGCAGGUGAAUUCAGGUGAGUUGAGUGAGUAUGAGGUGAGGCAUUAUGGCCUCCACUAUAUCACCUGCAAACCCUUUCUCAGGAUGCCCUGGCAAACAUGCUGCAGCCACACAAGGAAGAAACCAAGAAAUAGGAAGACAUAAGAUUCAGGAAACAGGAUUUCAUAUAAAAGAUAGAGAAGUCCUAGGACAACAGCUGUGCAAGAGGUCCAGAGAUCAAAUGACCGAAAACAGUGUCAAAAAAGGAGGGACAUCUUGCUAAUGGAAAAAAAAAAAA